GGGAAGGCUUUCAGACAUUCCGGGUGACCAACAACUAUUUUUCUCUGUCUUAGGGUUUCCCUUCGUCUUAUUCCUUGCUGGAACAGAGUUCUUGUCUUUAGAGGAGAACAUCAUAUUUAAGUGGGAUUUCAGAGAGCCCAUGAAAGCUGAUGAGAAUGCAGAGAAAAAAAACACAAGAAAAACAGAACCUUGACAGUAUAUUUGGAGUUAGCAUGACUGGAUGAACAACAGAUUGAAGAAUCAGAAAACAGCAGUGUCUACUUUUUAUUCUCUCUUAAUCAUUGAGGUCCAAGGUGCUACCCUUCCCAGCAGAAGGAAUGAAAAGACAGCAAAUGCAAAGUGGGAGAGGAAUAAGAUUCCUGUGAGGGAGGAGCGGAAGAAAACAGAAGUGCACUAGAGGUCGGGGAAGCAUGCAGCUAAAGACCAGACCAUUCCCCAGGGACCCGCCCCCCUCCCCUCCUGCCUUCCCCCAGCUUGUAUUUGUCUUGGCUGGGUUCUGGAUGACUCAUCUGCUAUAGAGUUGCUGAUAGGGACAGCCAGGGCCGGGAAACCCAAAUUAUAGGCUCUCUGUGAACUCAGCUCUCUCUCCUUCCCAUUGCUCUUCAACUCUCAGAGCUCUGAUAUAGGCUGCCACCAGAGGGCAAUAAAGAACGCAGGCUGCAAAAAGCUUUGACGUUUGUCCUACCUCAAGGUCACUAGGGCAGAGACUCCAUAAAGUGAAUUCUUUAUAUUAAGUAUUAAUGGUACCUACCUACAGGCCUUACAGAAGAAAUACAAGACAUUCAUAGCUGAAAAGUUAAUGGAACUUCAGGUUUGAAAUUCCCAAGGCACUUACUCAAUUUUGCUCCCACUUUUAAAAAAAUUGUAUUUCUUGCUGCAGAGCCAACAUAAUUAUUCAUUUAGCAAAGGAUCUCUUGCUCAGUUCUGGGUCAUAAUAGUUUUAUUGGCAUUUCUAUAAGUGUAGAAUAAGGAAGUCUUUAAUGUUUGUAUCAUAUUUUAAACUAAAAGAGAGAGAUAGCUAAGAGAUCAGGAUUGAUUUUGCCUGAUCCACUGUGAGUUACCAGAGCCUAAACUCAAUAGAUUCUUCUUUCUCUUGAAAGAUACUUAAAUACAAUUGUGAUCUCAUCAAUUUGAAGAUUCCUUCUAGAGACACAGACUAAAAUGCACCAGUGCUUGACCAUCCUUAUUUGAUUUUUGUCCAUUUCCUCCAUAAGUUCAUCUCUUUUUUUUUCUGUUUUGAAUCUAUGUAAGAAUGCUUAAGUUUGCUGAAGUAUAUGAAAUUUUACAUAACAAAAAUUCACAGCCUCUACUUGAAAGACCUACAGUGAAAGGAACUCACUACUUCUAAAAGUAACCUUUUGGGGAUUGUUCUAAAUGUUAAGAAAUUUUUCUUAGACAGCAAGUCUAAAUUUGUCUCAUCAUAGCUCUAAGGAAGUUGGUCUUUCAUUGACUUAAUCACAGAAAAGGGGGCAGAGAAGUAAAAAUUAACUGUGAAAUGCAGUCACACAGCAGAUACUUUUUGGGGGUAUGAAUGACUUCCUGGACUCAGUGAAAAAGAGAGCAACUACAUAGGAUGCAGAAUGAUAGACUAUCAUUACCCAAAUGAUAAAUGGCGAAAAGAUAUGAAUAGGCAAUUAUAGUAAAAAAAAAUCUAAGUUAUCAAUAGCCAUAUGAAAAGUGCUCCAAGUUACUAAUAAUUGUAUAAGUACAAAUGAAAAUAAUUCUGAGGUCUACUUCAGACUCAUCAGAUUGGGAAAAAAAAGACAAAUACUGGAGGAACUAUGGGAAAAUAGGCACAUUUAUGCAUUAUUAGUGGAACUAUGAACUCAGCGAUUCUGAAAAACAAUUACUCCCCUCCCUCCCAACUACUAAAUUAAACUCACUGAAACCACUAUCUAUAUGCCUCUUUGGUCAAAAAGGACCAGUUUGUACAAAAAUAUGUAUUGUGCUUCUUUUGUGAUGGCAAAGAACUGGAAAUUGAGGGAAGCCUAUAAAAUGGAAAAUAGCUAAACAAGUUAUGAUAUAUUAAUGAGAUGGAAUACCAUGAUGUCAUAAGAAAUGAUAAUGGAAUGACUUCAAAAAACUUUAAGAGACUUAUAUGAACAAAUUAAGAGGGAAGUGAGCAGAACUGGGAGAACAAUGUAUUCAACAACAGCUAUACUGCAAAGACAGAUACUUUUGAAAGACUUAGAAACUCUGAUCAAAGGAUUCUAUCCACCUCUUGAGCAGUGAUGAAUUCAAUUACAGAUUGGAUUGUACAUUAUUUUUGAUGGUCAAUGAAGAAAUUUGUUUUGCUUGAUGAUAU